UUCACUUCUUGGCCUUUUGGCUAAGAUCAAGUGUAGUAUCUGUUCUUAUCAGUUUAAUAUCUGAUACGUCAAUGAUGGCACAAUUCCAU